CCUAGGGAUGCUCCAGUGGGGAAUAUUGGACAAUGGGGGAAACCCUGAUCCAGCAAUGCCGCGUGUGUGAAGAAGGCCUGCGGGUUGUAAAGCACUUUCGGUUGGGAGGACUGCUUCUAGCACUAAUAUUGUUGGAAGUUGACGUUACCUUCAGAAGAAGCACCGGCUAACUCCGUGCCAGCAGCCGCGGUGAAUACGGAGGGUGCAAGCGUUAAUCGGAAUUACUGGGCGUAAAGCGCGCGUAGGCGGCUAGAUCAGUCGGGUGUGAAAGCCCCGGGCUUAACCUGGGAACUGCAUCCGAUACUGUCUAGCUUGAGUACAGGAGAGGAGAGUGGAAUUCCACAUGUAGCGGUGAAAUGCGUAGAUAUGUGGAGGAACACCAAUGGCGAAGGCAGCUCUCUGGCCUGAUACUGACGCUGAGGUGCGAAAGCGUGGGGAGCAAACAGGAUUAGAUACCCCUGUAGUC
rnacentral:rRNA from 1 species